CCUACGGGAGGCUGCAGUGGGGAAUAUUGCACAAUGGGGGAAACCCUGAUGCAGCGACGCCGCGUGGGUGACGAAGUAUUUCGGUAUGUAAAGCCCUAUCAGCAGGGAAGAAGAUGACAGUACCUGACCAAGAAGCCCCGGCUAACUACGUGCCAGCAGCCGCGGUAAUACGUAGGGGGCAAGCGUUAUCCGGAUUUACUGGGUGUAAAGGGAGCGUAGGUGGCAUGGCAAGCCAGAAGUGAAAACCCGGGGCUUAACCCCGCGGAUUGCUUUUGGAACUGUCAGGCUGGAGUGCAGGAGGGGCAGGCGGAAUUCCUGGUGUAGCGGUGAAAUGCGUAGAUAUCAGGAGGAACACCGGUGGCGAAGGCGGCCUGCUGGACUGUAACUGACACUGAGGCUCGAAAGCGUGGGGAGCAAACAGGAUUAGAUACCCGAGUAGUC
rnacentral:rRNA from 1 species